GUGUCAGCAGCCGCGGUAAUACGUAGGUGGCAAGCGUUAUCCGGAAUUAUUGGGCGUAAAGCGCACGCAGGUGGCUUCUUAAGGCUGACGUGAAAGCUCCUGGCUUAACCGGGAGAGGUCGUGGGCAACUGGGAGGCUUGAGGCAAGGAGAGGGGCGUAGAAUUCCCGGUGUAGUGGUGGAAUGCGUAGAUAUCGGGGGGAAUACCAGAGGCGCAAGCGGCGCCCUGGCCUUGGCCUGACGCUCAGGUGCGAAAGCGUGGGGAGCGAACGGGAUUAGAUACCCCGGUAGUCCACGCCAUAAACGAUGAAUACUAGGUGUUGGAGGAUUUAAACCCUUCGGUACCGAAGCUAACGCGCUAAGUAUUCCGCCUGGGGAGUACGACCGCAAGGUUAAA
rnacentral:rRNA from 1 species